rnacentral:rRNA from 1 species
GGCGGCAUGCCUAAUACAUGCAAGUCGAACGGUAACAGGUCGCUGUGAUCCCUUCGGGGUGAACUUGAUGCUGACGAGUGGCGGACGGGUGAGUAAUGCUUGGGAAUCUGCCCAGUAGUGGGGGACAACACGGGGAAACUCGUGCUAAUACCGCAUACGUCCCCUUGUUUGGUUACAAGGGGAGAAAGUGGGGGAUCUUCGGACCUCACGCUAUUGGAUGAGCCCAAGUCGGAUUAGCUUGUUGGUAGGGUAACGGCUUACCAAGGCGACGAUCCGUAGCUGGUCUGAGAGGACGAUCAGCCACACUGGGACUGAGACACGGCCCAGACUCCUACGGGAGGCAGCAGUAGGGAAUAUUGGACAAUGGGCGCAAGCCUGAUCCAGCAAUGCCGCGUGUGUGAAGAAGGCCUGCGGGUUGUAAAGCACUUUCAGUAGAGAAGAAAAGCCUCGGGUUAAUACCCCGGAGUCUUGACGUAACCUACAGAAGAAGCACCGGCUAACUCCGUG